CCAGACACACUUGGAAGCAGGAAGAGGAAGUGAUAGUAACCCUGCAGAGUCCUGUUGUUGCAAUUUUGGACUGCAAAUCCCAGAGACCUCAGGGGCAGCAGGAAGAGGAAAUGAACACACAGCCAAAGAGUCAUGCUUUAGUGUCCUCUGGCUUCUGAACUAAGCCACUACAGGAGUCCAGGCCAACGUCCAGAGAUGAACGAUGAAGUCUGUUUAACUGGUGUAACCCACACAAAAUAUACAAGCCACUACAAAGGUGUUGUAGUUUCAAGAAGGCUUUCAAGACAUGAUGGAAGAGGUGGACAAGGGCUGUUCUCUACUGACUGUUCCUACUUUAGCACUGUAAAAAGAAGAUCCAGAUCAACGAGCAAGCUCCUCAGACAACUCAGAGGGUCAAGUACUUUACUGAUCUGAGGAAAGUGAAACUUUCUGAAAGCCUCAUACAGACUUGCUAAAGGAGCUGCAGAAAAGAAAAAAAAUAGGAAAGUGAGUGGUAAAGCCAGAGUGAUGUGCCAGUACCCUCUCCUCUGUAGAUAAUUGAUGGGUGUUAACUGAUCUUUGUAGUCAUUGGUAGUAUGUUAUUAAGAGGAAAGAUGUGAUUCAAAUUAUAAUUUAGAGAAACUCCCUAAUUUAAAAGAAUGAGGAAGUUAGAAAUUGAGAGAUGAUCACUUAGUUACAGGAAAGUUGGUACAGAGACAAGAAAAGGGUGGGGGGAAGGAUUGU